CUGAAUACAUAGGUAUGCAAAGCGAACGCGGCGAACUGAAACAUCUAAGUAGCUGCAGGAAAAGAAAUCAACCGAGAUUCCCAAAGUAGUGGCGAGCGAAAUGGGAUGAGCCUGUAUGUGAUAGUCGGACUGAUAGUGGAAGCCUCUGGAAAUAGGCGCCAUAGUGGGUGAUAGCCCCGUACACGAAAUCAGACCGGUGGUACUAAGCAUACGACAAGUAGGGCGGGACACGAGAAAUCCUGUCUGAACAUGGGGGGACCAUCCUCCAAGGCUAAAUACUCGUAAUCGACCGAUAGUGAACCAGUACCGUGAGGGAAAGGCGAAAAGAACCCCGGGAGGGGAGUGAAAUAGAUCCUGAAACCGUGUGCAUACAAACAGUAGGAGCCUCUUCGUGGGGUGACUGCGUACCUUUUGUAUAAUGGGUCAGCGACUUACAUUCAGUGGCAAGGUUAACCGAAUAGGGGAGCCGUAGAGAAAUCGAGUCCGAAUAGGGCGACAGUCGCUGGGUGUAGACCCGAAACCAAGUGAUCUACCCAUGGCCAGGAUGAAGGUGCGGUAACACGCCCUGGAGGUCCGAACCCACUAAUGUUGAAAAAUUAGGGGAUGAGCUGUGGGUAGGGGUGAAAGGCUAAACAAACUUGGAAAUAGCUGGUUCUCUCCGAAAACUAUUUAGGUAGUGCCUCAAGUAUCACCAUCGGGGGUAGAGCACUGUUAUGGCUAGGGGGUCAUUGCGACUUACCAACCCAUUGCAAACUCCGAAUACCGAUGAGUGCGAGCUUGGGAGACAGACAUCGGGUGCUAACGUCCGGUGUCAAGAGGGAAACAACCCAGACCGCCAGCUAAGGUCCCAAAGAUUGGCUAAGUGGAAAACGAAGUGGGAAGGCUAAAACAGUCAGGAUGUUGGCUUAGAAGCAGCCACCAUUUAAAGAAAGCGUAAUAGCUCACUGAUCGAGUCGUCCUGCGCGGAAGAUGUAACGGGGCUAAGCCAGUCACCGAAGCUGCGGAUAU
rnacentral:rRNA from 1 species